UACAAUGGGGGGUACAGAGGGCCGCUACCACGCGAGUGGAUGCCAAUCCCCAAAACCUCUCUCAGUCCGGACUGGAGUCUGCAACCCGACUCCACGAAGCUGGAUUCGCUAGUAAUCGCGCAUCAGCCACGGCGCGGUGAAUACGUUCCCGGGCCUUGUACACACCGCCCGUCAAGCCAUGGGAGCCGGGGGUACCUGAAGUGCGUAACCGCGAGGAUCGCCCUAGGGUAAAACUGGUGACUGGGGCUAAGUCGUAACAAGGUACC
rnacentral:rRNA from 1 species